rnacentral:rRNA from 1 species
UACGGGGGGGGGCAAGCGUUUGUUCGGAAUUACUGGGCGUAAAGGGCGCGUAGGCGGUUCGCUAAGUUGAAUGUGAAAACUCUGGGCUUAACCCAGAGCCUGCAUUCAAUACUGGCGGGCUAGAGUUCUGGAGGGGAUAGCGGAAUUCCUGGUGUAGCGGUGAAAUGCGUAGAUAUCAGGAGGAACACCGGUGGCGAAGGCGGCUAUCUGGACAGAGUCUGACGCUGAUGCGCGAAAAGCUAGGGGGAGCAAACAGG